AUAUUUACCUGGCAAGGGAGAUACCAUGAUCACGAAGGUAGUUUUCCCAGGGCGAGGCUUAUCCAUUGCACUCCGAAUGUGCUGACCCCUGCGAUUUCCCCAAAUGUGGGAAACUCAAAUACAUAAUUUGUGGUAGUGGGGGGACUACGUUAGCGCUCUCCCCUA
rnacentral:snRNA from 1 species